GAUGAACGCUGGCGGCGCGCCUAAUACAUGCAAGUCGAACGAACAGACGUGGAUUUCGUUCUUGUUACGGUAUAGGCGGACGGGGGAGGAAUACGUGGCUAAUCUGUGUAUAAGCCUGAGAUAAGUUCUAAAAACCGGAGCCAGUGUCUGAUUAUAGGUAGGACUGCAGGGUGCAACAUGUGAAGGCGGUCUUUCUUCUACUGGUAGGGGGUUCGCUCCCGCACUAUCUAGUUGGUAGGGUAGCGGCUUACCAAGGCAACGAUGCGUAGCCGACCUGAGAGGGUGAGCGGCCAGACUGGAACUGAGACACGGUCCAGACUCCUACGGGAGGCAGCAGUAGGGAGUGUUCCGCAAUGGGCGAAAGCCUGGCGGAGCAACGCGGCGUGAGUGAAGAAGGUCUUCGGAUCGUAAAACACUCUCCUUAGGGAAGAAAGGAAGUGUACGUAACUAUGCACGUGUUGAGGGUAUCGAAUCAGAAAGCCCCGGCUAACUCCGUG
rnacentral:rRNA from 1 species